rnacentral:rRNA from 1 species
CCUACGGGCGGCAGCAGUGGGGAAUAUUGCACAAUGGGGGGAACCCUGAUGCAGCGACGCCGCGUGGGUGAGGAAGUACUUCGGUAUGUAAAGCCCUAUCAGCAGGGAAGAAAAUGACUGUACCUGACUAACAAACACAGCCUAACUACGCGCCAUCAGCCGCGGAAAUACGUAGGGGCCAGGCGGUAUCCGGAUUUACGGGGUGUAACGGGAGCGUAGACGGCGUGCUAUGUCUGGUGUGAAGGGCAGGGGCUCAACCCGGGGACUGAAGUGGACACUGGCAUGGUGGAGUGCCGGAGGGGAGAGCGGAAUUCCUGGUGUAGCGGUGGAAUGCGUAGAUAUUAGGAGGAACACCGGUGGCGAAGGCAGCUUGCUGGGCGGUAACUGACGUUGAGGCGCGAAAGCGUGGGGAGCAAACAGGAUUAGAUACCCCAGUAGUC